rnacentral:lncRNA from 1 species
AUGUGCCUUGGGCUGCCUUGCACAGGGGCUCUCCCAACGUCGCUAUGGCUCAUACAAAGGUCCAAGGUAAAACCCAGCAGUCCACCUGACCCCUUUGUUUUGCAUGCUCCGGGACUGGAGAAAGAUCAGUUAUGGUUUUCGUGGGCUUCUGGUUUUUUCAAUCUGAAAAGUAACACUGAGAAAGCUCCCGGAAGAGAGUCUCAGCAGCGGGCACCGCGGCGUCGUGGAGUCAUGGGAUUUGGGUUUUCUCUUCUUUUCUUUCUUUCGCCGCUGUUAGGCUGAGCCUCGCAGGGAGUCCCCAUCAACAAAUGGGAUAAAAAGAAGAUGCCGGGAACGUUCAAUGCGUUUGUGUUUAUCAAAGCUCUUCCAGGGUUUAAACAAUUAGUUCUAUGAAUUAGGAACAUGCAAUGCCCAAAGUAUAUUGCUGAGAAAAAAAUCUAAGGUCUCUGAAAUGCCAGAUGCUCUGCAGAGUAUUAAGAAAGGGAAGGAAGGUGCUUGUGAUUUAGAGGGUAUCACCAUUUACUGGGGCUAUACAAAAUGGUUGUGAAGAGGGUACGGGGC